UGAAUUCAGUUCAUUCUUGUCUACGUCCCUCUCGACGUAUGUGCGCAUGAAUUCGUGGAAUUGCAAGCAGAGAAACUUUGGUGUGAGCCCAUUAAACGUGCAACUAUUCAAAGGUGGUGAAACUAUAUUUAACUGCAAAUGGCUGUGCGAGUUUCACCAAAUGUUGGAGCCGAAAACGUGUAUUCUUUCUGAAUGGCAGGUGAAUUUUCGGUAAUAAGGUAUUUUUGAUUAAUAUAUAUUAAUAUUUUGAAUCUCCAUUAAAGACAAACACGGUAAGGAA